CGACUGAGACAGAGUUGGGCAGGAGCAAGCAGUUGGAUUGGCCUGACUCUUCAAGAUCAAAGGUACCCGGCUUCCUCUUCAUCGAGUCACGAAAUUUAG
rnacentral:rRNA from 1 species